rnacentral:RNase_P_RNA from 1 species
GGAGUGUGAAAUCCAGCCGCUGGUGUCUUUGACACGGGAGGAAAGUCCGGGCUCCAAAGAGCAGGAUGCCGGAGAAAUUCCGGCGAGUGUGAACUCAGGGAAAGUGCCACAGAAAAGUAAACCGCCCAUUUUGUGGGUAAGGGUGAAAAGGUGAGGUAAGAGCUCACCAGCCGUAUGGUGACAUACGGGCUUGGUAAACCCCAUCCGGAGCAAGGUCGAAUAGGGAAGGAUGAGGCGGCUCGCUGACUUCCGGGUACGACCGCUCAUUCCCGUUUGUAAAAACGGGAUUAGAUAAAUGGCUGGAGGAGAUUUUAUCUCUUACAAGACCCGGCUUAUUGAGCACUCCUUUA